rnacentral:miRNA from 1 species
UGAGCCGGGAUGGCUUGCCGGCA